rnacentral:rRNA from 1 species
GCUCAGGAUGAACGCUGGCGGCGUGCUUAACACAUGCAAGUCGAACGAAGCGCUUAAACGGAUUUCUUCGGAUUGAAGUUUUUGUGACUGAGUGGCGGACGGGUGAGUAACGCGUGGGUAACCUGCCUCAUACAGGGGGAUAACAGUUAGAAAUGACUGCUAAUACCGCAUAAGCGCACAGUGCUGCAUGGCACAGUGUGAAAAACUCCGGUGGUAUGAGAUGGACCCGCGUCUGAUUAGCUAGUUGGUGGGGUAACGGCCUACCAAGGCGACGAUCAGUAGCCGGCCUGAGAGGGUGAACGGCCACAUUGGGACUGAGACACGGCCCAAACUCCUACGGGAGGCAGCAGUA